rnacentral:rRNA from 1 species
AAAGGAAUUGACGGGGGCCCGCACAAGCGGAGGAACAUGUGGUUUAAUUCGAUGAUACGCGAGGAACCUUACCCGGGCUUGAAUUGCAGCUGCAUGGAGCAGAGAUGUUCCUUCCCUUCGGGGCUGCUGUGAAGGUGCUGCAUGGUUGUCGUCAGCUCGUGCCGUGAGGUGUCGGCUUAAGUGCCAUAACGAGCGCAACCCUUUUCCCCGGUUGCCAUCAGGUAAUGCUGGGCACUCCGAGGAUACUGCCGCCGCAAGGCGUGAGGAAGGUGGGGAUGACGUCAAAUCAGCACGGCCCUUACGUCCGGGGCUACACACGUGUUACAAUGGGGGAUACAGAGCGUUGCCACCCGGUGACGGGGCGCCAAUCGUGAAAGUCCCUCCCAGUUCGGACUGGAGUCUGCAACCCGACUCCACGAAGCUGGAUUCGCUAGUAAUCGCGCAUCAGCCAUGGCGCGGUGAAUACGUUCCCGGGCCUUGUACACACCGCCCGU